GUGGAGCAGCCAGCCCCAUCUGGAAGACUAGUGAUUUUGUUGUUGUCUCCUGCGCUCAACAACAAGUCCCAGUCUGCCGCAUGGUGCUGGCCACCGCA
rnacentral:pre_miRNA from 2 species